GCAAAGCCACCCCUGGCCCCCCGCCAUCUACUCCUGAUGAAUGAGCUGCGACACACUCAAAGGUGAGAAGGCCCAGCCAGACCCAUAUCUCGCAAAUCUUGGCAAAACCAUGGUGCAUCCAACGCAAUUGCCUUGGUGUCAUUCCACAGCAUUUCUGUCCUUGGCCCUUCAAAUGUGGAACAACUUCCCCACAGGUGGCUACUAUGCUCUAAUACUCAGUAAGUAUUACUGCUUACCUGUUUUGAUGCUUUCUCUCUUGAAGACAUACUUUUGUCACAUUUCCUCCACAUUCAUCCAUCCAUUGAAAAGAAAGCCAGGAAGAAGGUGAUGGCCUUUUCCAAUCUCUUAGGGGAGAAACAAAUUUCCUAGAGACUCUCAAUUUCUAGGGGCUGGUCUCCAAAACAAGAUGAAGGUGUGCUUAUAAAAAUGUCUGAGAUCAGCAGAGGUGCAGUGCAGAGGCUUCAGGCCUCACUAAGUCUUGGAAGGGCACUUGGGUUGCUGAGCUGUCCUGAUUCUUGUACAGCAUCCUUUCACUUCUCCUGUUACCCAGGCUAAGCAGAUUCAGUGAGGCAUACGUAGAUCGAGGCAUGCUACAUCUAUAACUUCAUUUUGCCUUGGAGAUGUACUGCAAGAUCAACACCUAGCACAUAAUGCUUAGCAAAUGGUGGCAAUACAGUGCAUAAAAUGACGGCCCUAACUUUUUUCCCUUCAUUUGGGGAAAUUCCCCUCACACAGUACCAUGUGUGCAAAAAAGUAAUUGUUUGCCAGCAUAUGAAGUGUAGCCAAGCAGGCUAAGCUGAACAAAAGUUUCAGGUCCUACAUGGCUAUUAGGAGUUUCCAGUUAAUUGAACACUCGAGUGACAAAUGCACACAGCCACAUUUGGGCAGAUAAUCUGCUUAAAAUCAACCUUUCUACCCCAGGGAAACCCUAGGGAAAUAAUUCAUAGUGCAAGUGUGUGGUGUCUUUCACAAUAUUUAAAAUUUAUAUUUCCUGCUAAAAAAGGCUGAAACUAGAACUGGCUGAAAGAAAUAAAGCAACAUGUCUCUCAAAAGUUCUUAAUUUG
rnacentral:lncRNA from 1 species